UACGGGGGGAGCAAGCGUUGUUCGGAUUUACUGGGCGUAAAGGGCGCGUAGGCGGCCACUGCAAGUCAGUUGUGAAAUCUCCGGGCUUAACUCGGAAAGGUCAACUGAUACUGCAGGGCUAGAGUGCGGAAGGGGCAACUGGAAUUCUCGGUGUAGCGGUGAAAUGCGUAGAUAUCGAGAGGAACACCUGCGGCGAAGGCGGGUUGCUGGGCCGACACUGACGCUGAGGAGCGAAAGCGUGGGGAGCGAACAGG
rnacentral:rRNA from 1 species